rnacentral:misc_RNA from 1 species
CCCACGUGCUCUCCAUUACUGUCAACAACAUGCAAAACGUACUAUUCUACGGGCUUCGCUGUGCACUUUUUGCUGUACUGUACCGGCCUAGGCCUGAACAUGUAGGCGGCCGAAGAUAGUAUUUUACAUAAAGUAUAUUAUGUCCUUAGUUAAUAUAUGCGCGGUCAUACGGAUGCCACAUCUUAGUAUGGCAUGCUACAGGACAUUUAGAAAUCGAAGAAUGUACCCCUUGUUAAAUAUUACUACCUUAUUAGAUGGAAAAAUUCACCAGUUGCAUUCCCAAAAUAAUGAUAUCGUCAAUAAAGUAGGCAAAUGUGCUACAAACAGCUCACAGAUGCAAAUAGGCAACCAAAAGAUUUUUGAGGAAAAUGCAGUUGAAGUAAAGGAAGACCACAACACAAACGGCAAAACUAGCAAUCAGAACAUGACCAAGUUUGAACCAUCAUUGAAUGCACAACCAAAAAAGCUAUUAACAGAAAAUAACACAAAUGAAGACAUACCACUUUUCAACUCAAAAAACAAGUUACCAAACAAGCAACCUACCAAAACCAAAAAUUUCCGGAAAGUACAAGGCAAGACUACUAAAUCGCCGUUACUAUUGAAACAUGAUAAAACAACAGAGAUAAGCAAGAAGAAAUUAAAAAAUCAGAAGAAGCUGAAAAAUUCCCAAACACAGAAAUUCCAAGUAUCUAAAAAAAAAAGCAUUGAUGAGAAACGUGUUCCAUUGUCACAAUCCCAGCAGCAAGCAAAGAAAAGUCAGCUAUUUAGUAAAAAGGAAAAGAUGGAAAGUGAAAAUUUGUUGCUGGAGAGAACUUCAAAUAAUUACACUGCAGAACAUAUAGAAAACUACAAUGAUGCUAGUAAAAAUGAAAAUUUGAAUGCAUCAAGCAAACAUUUUAGAUCACUAAAGGAAGUUGAACAUAUAGGAGGACAAUCCAUGCAUUUACGAAAGGGUAAAGAACCAAAAACCAGCCUUUCAUCCAGUGCACUAAUUUCACAUCAAAGGGAACAGAAAGAGUUUGAAGAGACUGCAGUAGAAGUUGAUGUAGGUGAGGAUAAUAAAAGCAGCCAUGCUUUUACAAAAAAGAUGAAGCAUAAAGUUAAAGCUACACCAAACAAAAAGGUUCCAGAUUCAAAUCAAAUGCCACUUCAUAAAACAUACUUCACUCAUCCACACUCCUACCUGUUACCUUAUCUUGAAGUAUGUAUAUUUACUGGUAUGUUGUCCCGAGCAGAAUUGAUGUUCCAAAAAUUCAAGUAUUCUAUGCCAUUAGAUGUAGAGGUGUUCAAUGUUCUUCUUCAUGGAUGGGCAAAAGAGGGUGAUUUAAAUAAGAUUAGAAAAUUGUUCAAGGAAAUGGGAAAACUAGGUGUAAAAGCUGAUUUGCAAUCUUAUGCUGCAGUACUGGAGUGCAUUGGAAGGAAUAAUGUCAUUUCUUCAAAUGCCGCUUUGAAAUGUAUCAGUGAGAUGAAAAAAAAUGGGCUGGAUGUGCAUAACAUACUGUCAGUCAGAUUGACUGAAGAUCAGAGAAACUGUGUUGUUGAUGCAUUGCAGAAAAGUUGUCCUUCAGCUAUAGUUCAACGGGAUUUUAAACCACAUGUUUGCAGAAAUCGGCUUGUGGAGGACUACUACUGUGAACAUCACAAUCAGGUGGAUAUACGUGAUGAAUCAGAAAAAGUGUCAAAAAAUAUAAAUUUUAAAGACAUGAUGAAGAAUAUAAUGGAACAGGUGAAAAUUGAGGAAUGUGGUCAUAUGAAAGUGAAAUCAGUUGACAUUGAAGAUAAAGUGAGCCCUCAAAUACAACUUAAGCGAAAACACCUUAAAGAACAUGAUCAAGAAUGGCGAAGUUGUCUGUCUCGAGCUUUUGAUGAAGUCAAAUUUGGUCAUAACAACAAAUCUCUUAGUGGAAUUGCCAAUUUUUAUCCAUUUAUGUGCUUGUUUGACACUGAGGAGUAUGUGGACAUAAUGCUGCAAACUUUACAUACCCUAGCUACUUCAUCAGAAGGAAAUGCUCGCGUUAAUUUGUCAGUAGAGCUUGGACAGAGGCUAUUUCACAAAUAUGUCAUAAUGAAAAAGAUAAAGACAGGAGUGAGCAAGAAGAUUAAUCAACUAUAUGAGAGGUUUGUGCCUUUGUGUUUAAAUGAAGAGCAGUUGAUUAAAAAGCCAUUGAGAGAAACAUGGCAAGAAAUUGAGCACCAACAUCCCUCAGGAGCAUCUUUGGACACAGAAAGCAACAUGUGGUCACGGCCAGUUGUUUUGUCAAUUGGUUCAUUACUGGCUGAUAUGAUGCUACAUGAAAUCAACAUUGACAGUAAUCUUCGAUCCACUUCCGCAAGGCAGAUGAUACCUGCACUCUAUCACAUCUUUGACUAUAGGAGUCUUAAGACAGUUGGUUUUGUGAAGCCACACCCGAAGCUAGUGAGCCUGAUCCAGGAUGCAUGUCUACCAGAUGUGGUGUUUGACAGUAACCAUGUUCCAAUGCUGUCUCCUCCUCUUCCAUGGUGUUCUCAUAAGUUUGGCGGUUAUCUGUUUUCGUCUUGUUCGGUAAUGAGAACAAGAGACGAUUCACUUCAGGUUGAGUUAUUAAAGGAUAAGAUACAACGUGGUGACCUCAAUCCAGUUUUAGACUCAUUGAAUCAGUUGUCAAAUACUCCAUGGAUUGUAAACAAACCAGUAUUGGAUAUAGUGUUAGAUAUAUUUAGGAAUGGUGGAGAUGAAAAAUUAAAUAUUCCACCACCAUCCUCAGUCUGCCCAGAACCACCAUCAUACUCCAAAGGUAUGACAAGUGAGGCAAUGAUUGAAAUUCAGAAAUUGAGAAUGAGUUCCCGUAAGAAAAAAUCUGAAAUGCAUUCUCUAAGGAUGAAUGAGGUUUAUAAGCUAUCAAUUGCUAAUGCAUUUCGGAACAAGAUUUUCUGGUUUCCACACAAUAUGGACUUUAGAGGGCGAGUGUAUCCAUAUCCUCCACACUUCAAUCACCUUGGUAAUGAUGUAACUAGAAGCCUGUUACUUUUUGGACAUGGUAAGCCACUUGGAGAACAUGGCCUGAAGUGGAUUAAGAUACAUCUUGUCAACCUAACUGGACUUAAGAAAAGAGCAUCUCAAAAUGAAAGGUUGGAAUAUGCAGACAGCAUAAUGCCUUUAAUAUUGGACUCAGCAAAUGAUCCUUUAAAGGGGCAAAGAUGGUGGCAGACUGUGGACAAUAUUUGGCAAACUUUAGCAGCUUGUAAAGAAAUUAAUGCUGCAAUAAAUUCUCCAGAUCAUACAAAAUACAUUAGCCAUCUUCCAGUUCACCAGGAUGGUUCUUGCAAUGGUCUACAGCACUAUGCUGCUCUUGGCAGAGACGCAAUAGGUGCACAGCAAGUUAAUUUAUAUCCUAUGGCUUUGCCACAAGAUGUAUACAAUGGAGUUGCACAAAUGGUAGAAGAGUUGCGUGUUGAAGAUGCCAAAGAUGGUCAUCCAAUUGCAAUUUUAUUGAAAGAUCAAAUUCACAGAAAGAUUGUGAAGCAGACUGUGAUGACUGUUGUUUAUGGUGUAACUGCAUAUGGUGGCCGACUACAAAUUUUAAAACAGUUGAGGGAGGUGAAAGACCUUACAUUUGAUCAGCAGUGGGCAGCAUCAGCCUAUAUUGUUGUCAAGGUUUUCCUGAGCCUACGUAAAAUGUUUACCAAAACUAGACAAAUUCAGGAUUGGUUGACAGACAGUGCUUGGAUGAUAUCAAAAGCUGGUGAACUAGUGCAAUGGGAAACUCCUCUUGGUCUGCCAGUUGUACAACCUUACCAAAAGAAAAUUUCCAACAGACCAAAUAAAUCAAGUAAAUCAAUGGAUCCUAUAUUCACAAGAUAGGCUGGUAUUACAUUUAGUUCUGUGCAUGACUGUUUCUGGACACAUCCUAGUACAGUGGAUAUUAUGAAUAAAGUUUGUAGAAAUCAAUUUGUCAACCUACAUAGUGAACCAAUACUGG